GUUACUUUGGCAGAUAAGUGUAUUAAAUUUAGAAUUUAAUUAUAUAUAUUUUAUAAAUUAUU
rnacentral:tRNA from 1 species